AUCUAUACUGUGAAACUGCGAAUGGCUCAUUAAAUCAGUUAUCGUUUAUUUGAUAGUACCUUACUACUUGGAUAACCGUGGUAAUUCUAGAGCUAAUACAUGCUAAAAACCCCGACUUCGGAAGGGGUGUAUUUAUUAGAUAAAAAACCAAUGCCCUUCGGGGCUCCUUGGUGAUUCAUGAUAACUUAACGAAUCGCAUGGCCUUGCGCCGGCGAUGGUUCAUUCAAAUUUCUGCCCUAUCAACUUUCGAUGGUAGGAUAGUGGCCUACCAUGGUAUCAACGGGUAACGGGGAAUUAGGGUUCUAUUCCGGAGAGGGAGCCUGAGAAACGGCUACCACAUCCAAGGAAGGCAGCAGGCGCGCAAAUUACCCAAUCCCGACACGGGGAGGUAGUGACAAUAAAUACUGAUACAGGGCUCUUUUGGGUCUUGUAAUUGGAAUGAGUACAAUUUAAAUACCUUAACGAGGAACAAUUGGAGGGCAAGUCUGGUGCCAGCAGCCGCGGUAAUUCCAGCUCCAAUAGCGUAUAUUAAAGUUGUUGCAGUUAAAAAGCUCGUAGUUGAACCUUGGGCCUGGCUGGCCGGUCCGCCUCACCGCGUGUACUGGUCCGGCCGGGCCUUUCCUUCUGGGGAUCCGCAUGCCCUUCACUGGGUGUGUCGGGGAACCAGGACUUUUACUUUGAAAAAAUUAGAGUGUUCAAAGCAGGCCUUUGCUCGAAUACAUUAGCAUGGAAUAAUAGAAUAGGACGUGCGGUCCUAUUUUGUUGGUUUCUAGGACCGCCGUAAUGAUUAAUAGGGAUAGUCGGGGGCAUCAGUAUUCAAUUGUCAGAGGUGAAAUUCUUGGAUUUAUUGAAGACUAACUACUGCGAAAGCAUUUGCCAAGGAUGUUUUCAUUAAUCAGUGAACGAAAGUUAGGGGAUCGAAGACGAUCAGAUACCGUCGUAGUCUUAACCGUAAACUAUGCCGACUAGGGAUCGGGCGAUGUUAUUCUUUUGACUCGCUCGGCACCUUACGAGAAAUCAAAGUCU
rnacentral:rRNA from 3 species